rnacentral:rRNA from 1 species
CAGAGGUCCCAAGCGUUGUUCGGAUUUACUGGGCGUAAAGGGUGCGUAGGUGGUUGGGUAAGUCUCAUGUGAAAUCUCCAAGCUCAACUUGGAAAUGGCAUGGGAUACUAUUCGGCUAGAGGAUUGGAGGGGGGACUGGAAUUCCCGGUGUAGCAGUGAAAUGCGUAGAUAUCGGGAGGAACACCAGUGGCGAAGGCGAGUCCCUGGACAAUUCCUGACGCUGAGGCACGAAAGCUAGGGGAGCAAACAGGAUUAGAUACCCUGGUAGUCCUAGCUGUAAACGGUGCUCACUUGCUGUAGACGGAAUCGACCCCGUCUGUGGCGAAGCUAACGCGUUAAGUGAGCCGCCUGGGGAGUACGGUCGCAAGAUUA